AGAGUUUGAUCCUGGCUCAGGACGAACGCUGGCGGCGUGCCUAAUACAUGCAAGUCGAGCGGACAGAUGGGAGCUUGCUCCCUGAUGUUAGCGGCGGACGGGUGAGUAACACGUGGGUAACCUGCCUGUAAGACUGGGAUAACUCCGGGAAACCGGGGCUAAUACCGGAUGGUUGUUUGAACCGCAUGGUUCAAACAUAAAAGGUGGCUUCGGCUACCACUUACAGAUGGACCCGCGGCGCAUUAGCUAGUUGGUGAGGUAACGGCUCACCAAGGCAACGAUGCGUAGCCGACCUGAGAGGGUGAUCGGCCACACUGGGACUGAGACACGGCCCAGACUCCUACGGGAGGCAGCAGUAGGGAAUCUUCCGCAAUGGACGAAAGUCUGACGGAGCAACGCCGCGUGAGUGAUGAAGGUUUUCGGAUCGUAAAGCUCUGUUGUUAGGGAAGAACAAGUACCGUUCGAAU
rnacentral:rRNA from 1 species